AAGAAUGAUACAAUGGGAGAAGUCUGUGAGGGCUGGGCUUGCGAGAGGAUCAACAUGCCUUUGGCUAGAGAUUUACUACAUCCAUCCUUGGAAGAGGAAAAGAAAAAACAUAAAAAGAAACGCCUGGUACAAAGUCCAAAUUCUUACUUUAUGGAUGUAAAAUGCCCAAGUUGCUACAAGAUCACCACGGUUUUCAGCCAUGCUCAGACAGUGGUUCUUUGUGUGGGUUGUUCAACAGUGUUGUGCCAGCCUACAGGAGGAAAGGCCAGACUCACAGAAGGGUGUUCAUUUAGAAGAAAGCAACACUAAUGAUUCAAACAGCUUCCUGAAUUUUGUGUUAUCUCACAGAAAGCCUUAUCAUAAAUUCCAUAGUUCUAAUUAAUUUACCAAGAUAAUGUAAUUACAUUUGGUUUUGUAAGUAUACAACAGUAAUCUCCUAUUUUGGUGUCCGUUUUCAAUAAAGUUUUGAUAUGGA